GAUGAACGCUGGCGGCGUGCCUAAUACAUGCAAGUCGAGCGAACGGACGAGAAGCUUGCUUCUCUGAUGUUAGCGGCGGACGGGUGAGUAACACGUGGAUAACCUACCUAUAAGACUGGGAUAACUUCGGGAAACCGGAGCUAAUACCGGAUAAUAUUUUGAACCGCAUGGUUCAAAAGUGAAAGACGGUCUUGCUGUCACUUAUAGAUGGAUCCGCGCUGCAUUAGCUAGUUGGUAAGGUAACGGCUUACCAAGGCAACGAUGCAUAGCCGACCUGAGAGGGUGAUCGGCCACACUGGAACUGAGACGCGGUCCAGACUCCUACGGGAGGCAGCAGUAGGGACUCUUCCGCAAUGGGCGAAAGCCUGACGGAGCAACGCCGCGUGAGUGAUGAAGGUCUUCGGCUCGUAAAACUCUGUUAUUAGGGAAGAACAUAUGUGUAAGUAACUGUGCACAUCUUGACGGUACCUAAUCAGAAAGCCACGGCUAACUACGU
rnacentral:rRNA from 1 species